UUCCGGUUGAUCCCGCCGGACCCGACUGCUAUUUGGGUGAGGAUAAGCCAUGCAAGUCGAAUGGGAUACCUAAAUUUCCCAUGGCAAACUGCUCAGUAACACAUGAUCAACUUGCCCUAUGGAGAAAAAUAACCUCGGGAAACUGAGGAUAAUGUUUCACAGUUGAAUAGGCUUGGAAAAGUUUUUCAAUGAAAUGGAAAAGAAAAAUGGUUCUUUUCCGCCAUAGGAUAGGAUCGUGGUCGAUUAUGGUUGUUGGUGAGGUAAAGGCUCACCAAGCCGAUAAUCGAUAGGGGCCGUGAGAGCGGGAGCCCCGAGAUGGGUACUGAGACACCGACCCAGACCUUACGAGGUGCAGCAGGCGCGAGACCUCCGCAAUACACGAAAGUGUGACGGGGUUACCCAAAGUGUUCAUUUUUGAACUGUGGUAGGUGAGUAAUGUUCCCUACUAGAAAGGAGAGGGCAAGGCUGGUGCCAGCCGCCGCGGUAAAACCAGCUCUUCAAGUGGUCGGGAUGAUUAUUGGGCUUAAAGUGUCCGUAGCCGGUUUAGUAAGUUCCUGGUAAAAUCGGGUAGCUUAACUAUCUAUAUGCUAGGAAUACUGCUAUACUAGAGGGCGGGAGAGGUCUGAGG
rnacentral:rRNA from 1 species